UCCACGCAGUAAACGAUGAAUACUAGCUGUAUGCGAUAUACUGUAUGUGGCAAAGCGAAAGCGUUAAGUAUUCCACCUGGGGAGUACGUUCGCAAGAAUGAAACUCAAAGGAAUUGACGGGGGCCCGCACAAGCGGAGGAACAUGUGGUUUAAUUCGAUGAUACGCGAGGAACCUUACCCGGGCUUGAAAUGCAGAAGACCGACGAAGAAAUUCGUUUUCCAGCAAUGGCUUCUGUGUAGGUGCUGCAUGGUUGUCGUCAGCUCGUGCCGUGAGGUGUCGGCUUAAGUGCCAUAACGAGCGCAACCCUUAUCAUUAGUUACUAACAGGUCAUGCUGAGGACUCUAAUGAGACUGCCACCGUAAGGUGUGAGGAAGGUGGGGAUGACGUCAAAUCAGCACGGCCCUUACGU
rnacentral:rRNA from 1 species